rnacentral:rRNA from 1 species
GGGUUGUGAGGUUAAGCGACUAAGCGUACACGGUGGAUGCCCUGGCAGUCAGAGGCGAUGAAGGACGUGCUAAUCUGCGAUAAGCGUCGGUAAGGUGAUAUGAACCGUUAUAACCGGCGAUUUCCGAAUGGGGAAACCCAGUGUGUUUCGACACACUAUCAUUAACUGAAUCCAUAGGUUAAUGAGGCGAACCGGGGGAACUGAAACAUCUAAGUACCCCGAGGAAAAGAAAUCAACCGAGAUUCCCCCAGUAGCGGCGAGCGAACGGGGAGGAGCCCAGAGCCUGAAUCAGUGUGUGUGUUAGUGGAAGCGUCUGGAAAGGUGCGCGAUACAGGGUGACAGCCCCGUACACAAAAAUGCACAUGCUGUGAGCUCGAUGAGUAGGGCGGGACACGUGGUAUCCUGUCUGAAUAUGGGGGGACCAUCCUCCAAGGCUAAAUACUCCUGACUGACCGAUAGUGAACCAGUACCGUGAGGGAAAGGCGAAAAGAACCCCGGCGAGGGGAGUGAAAAAGAACCUGAAACCGUGUACGUACAAGCAGUGGGAGCACGCUUAGGCGUGUGACUGCGUACCUUUUGUAUAAUGGGUCAGCGACUUAUAUUCUGUAGCAAGGUUAACCGAAUAGGGGAGCCGAAGGGAAACCGAGUCUUAACUGGGCGUUAAGUUGCAGGGUAUAGACCCGAAACCCGGUGAUCUAGCCAUGGGCAGGUUGAAGGUUGGGUAACACUAACUGGAGGACCGAACCGACUAAUGUUGAAAAAUUAGCGGAUGACUUGUGGCUGGGGGUGAAAGGCCAAUCAAACCGGGAGAUAGCUGGUUCUCCCCGAAAGCUAUUUAGGUAGCGCCUCGUGAAUUCAUCUCCGGGGGUAGAGCACUGUUUCGGCAAGGGGGUCAUCCCGACUUACCAACCCGAUGCAAACUGCGAAUACCGGAGAAUGUUAUCACGGGAGACACACGGCGGGUGCUAACGUCCGUCGUGAAGAGGGAAACAACCCAGACCGCCAGCUAAGGUCCCAAAGUCAUGGUUAAGUGGGAAACGAUGUGGGAAGGCCCAGACAGCCAGGAUGUUGGCUUAGAAGCAGCCAUCAUUUAAAGAAAGCGUAAUAGCUCACUGGUCGAGUCGGCCUGCGCGGAAGAUGUAACGGGGCUAAACCAUGCACCGAAGCUGCGGCAGCGACGCUGAUGCGUUGUUGGGUAGGGGAGCGUUCUGUAAGCCUGCGAAGGUGUGCUGUGAGGCAUGCUGGAGGUAUCAGAAGUGCGAAUGCUGACAUAAGUAACGAUAAAGCGGGUGAAAAGCCCGCUCGCCGGAAGACCAAGGGUUCCUGUCCAACGUUAAUCGGGGCAGGGUGAGUCGACCCCUAAGGCGAGGCCGAAAGGCGUAGUCGAUGGGAAACAGGUUAAUAUUCCUGUACUUGGUGUUACUGCGAAGGGGGGACGGAGAAGGCUAUGUUGGCCGGGCGACGGUUGUCCCGGUUUAAGCGUGUAGGCUGGUUUUCCAGGCAAAUCCGGAAAAUCAAGGCUGAGGCGUGAUGACGAGGCACUACGGUGCUGAAGCAACAAAUGCCCUGCUUCCAGGAAAAGCCUCUAAGCAUCAGGUAACAUCAAAUCGUACCCCAAACCGACACAGGUGGUCAGGUAGAGAAUACCAAGGCGCUUGAGAGAACUCGGGUGAAGGAACUAGGCAAAAUGGUGCCGUAACUUCGGGAGAAGGCACGCUGAUAUGUAGGUGAGGUCCCUCGCGGAUGGAGCUGAAAUCAGUCGAAGAUACCAGCUGGCUGCAACUGUUUAUUAAAAACACAGCACUGUGCAAACACGAAAGUGGACGUAUACGGUGUGACGCCUGCCCGGUGCCGGAAGGUUAAUUGAUGGGGUCAGCGCAAGCGAAGCUCUUGAUCGAAGCCCCGGUAAACGGCGGCCGUAACUAUAACGGUCCUAAGGUAGCGAAAUUCCUUGUCGGGUAAGUUCCGACCUGCACGAAUGGCGUAAUGAUGGCCAGGCUGUCUCCACCCGAGACUCAGUGAAAUUGAACUCGCUGUGAAGAUGCAGUGUACCCGCGGCAAGACGGAAAGACCCCGUGAACCUUUACUAUAGCUUGACACUGAACAUUGAGCCUUGAUGUGUAGGAUAGGUGGGAGGCUUAGAAGUGUGGACGCCAGUCUGCAUGGAGCCGACCUUGAAAUACCACCCUUUAAUGUUUGAUGUUCUAACGUUGACCCGUAAUCCGGGUUGCGGACAGUGUCUGGUGGGUAGUUUGACUGGGGCGGUCUCCUCCUAAAGAGUAACGGAGGAGCACGAAGGUUGGCUAAUCCUGGUCGGACAUCAGGAGGUUAGUGCAAUGGCAUAAGCCAGCUUGACUGCGAGCGUGACGGCGCGAGCAGGUGCGAAAGCAGGUCAUAGUGAUCCGGUGGUUCUGAAUGGAAGGGCCAUCGCUCAACGGAUAAAAGGUACUCCGGGGAUAACAGGCUGAUACCGCCCAAGAGUUCAUAUCGACGGCGGUGUUUGGCACCUCGAUGUCGGCUCAUCACAUCCUGGGGCUGAAGUAGGUCCCAAGGGUAUGGCUGUUCGCCAUUUAAAGUGGUACGCGAGCUGGGUUUAGAACGUCGUGAGACAGUUCGGUCCCUAUCUGCCGUGGGCGCUGGAGAACUGAGGGGGGCUGCUCCUAGUACGAGAGGACCGGAGUGGACGCAUCACUGGUGUUCGGGUUGUCAUGCCAAUGGCACUGCCCGGUAGCUAAAUGCGGAAGAGAUAAGUGCUGAAAGCAUCUAAGCACGAAACUUGCCCCGAGAUGAGUUCUCCCUGACCCUUUAAGGGUCCUGAAGGAACGUUGAAGACGACGACGUUGAUAGGCCGGGUGUGUAAGCGCAGCGAUGCGUUGAGCUAACCGGUACUAAUGAACCGUGAGGCUUAACCUUACAACGCCGAAGCUGUU